UACGUAGGGGGCAAGCGUUAUCCGGAUUUACUGGGUGUAAAGGGAGCGUAGACGGUGAUGCAGGUCAGAAGUGAAAGCCCGGGGCUCAACUCCGGGACUGCUUUUGAAACUGUGUAACUGGAGUGCAGGAGAGGUAAGCGGAAUUCCUGGUGUAGCGGUGAAAUGCGUAGAUAUCAGGAGGAACACCAGUGGCGAAGGCGGCUUACUGGACUGUAACUGACGUUGAGGCUCGAAAGCGUGGGGAGCAAACAGG
rnacentral:rRNA from 1 species